UUAUAUGACAACAUCCUCUCUCCUUCUUCUUAGUUCUUCUUAUAUUUGAAACAUCCAGGUUCAAUAAUUAUAUGUUUUGAGGUUUGAGUCUUAAUUUUCGAACUGUUUUGGAGCUUAUUGCUGAAAAUCAGGGAAUUCCUAACCUCUAGAAACAUUAGUCCUGCAUUUUCUCUACUGUCUCUUAUUUAUUUUAUGCCUCAUUUUCGUCUUUCAAAAUUUUCCAUGGUAUUUGCAUAUUCAUCAUUUUUUCUAAUCUAUUUUUAUUUUUUAUUUUAUUUUUAAGGGUGUACUAGCCACGCCUGAUUACAGUCAUACUUGGAGAAUUAGAGACUCUCAUAUGAAACUGAGAAGAAACUUAGAUCUCACGCCAAUGUAGUUCAUGUGAAAUCAUUACCAGGAGUAAAGCUAAGACAUCAAAAUAUUGAUUGUGUCAUCAUUCGAGAAAUGACAGAGGGUGAAUACUCGGCCCUCGAGCAUGAAAGUGUCAAGGGUGUUGUGGAAUGUUUUAAAAUUGGUGACUAAACGGAAAUCUCAAAGAAUUGCCAGUUUGCUUUUGACUAUGCAACUAAAAAAACAGGAAAAAAAAGUCAUGCUGUACAAAAGCAAACAUUAUGAAACUUGGAGAUGGAUUAUUCUUAAAUAGCGCAAAGAGGUAAAUUAUAACGUAGAAGAAUUUUUGCAUUUACACAAAAUAAAGUAAGUACAAGUAUUCUAAUUUUACACCUUAUAUUACCUAAAACCUAUUGAUUUGCAGAAAUAUUGAUCAAAAGCACCAUAAAGGAAGAACGACAAGUGAGCUGAACAAAUGAGGAUGUGCCAAAAUGAUUGGUUUUGGGAAUUGGGGAUUUUAAUGUAAGAUCUAGAAAUAACUUCAACAUCCAUUAUCCAAGAAACAACAGAUUAUUAAAAGAAGAAACCUUGCUCCCAUUAUCUUCUUGCGUCAUGCAUACUUAAGUAGCCAUGACAGUUAAUUAAGAGCUUUCAAACUUUUCUUAUCGAUAUCAAUUAACAACAAGCUGUAUAGAUCAGGGUAUGUCUUCAUUCAAUUCUUUCAGUUUUUGUUUGUUUUCAAACAAAUCUAAUUUUAAGUUGAAAAUUGAGCAUCCUGUUUUAAAAAAGAGAUUGUGAGAAUAUAGACAGUUUUUCACCAGAUUCUUCCAUAACUUGGGUUCUUCAAAUUGUUAGUGGAUUUGUACUUCGUUAAUAAUUCAGAAGCUUUGAGACCAAAAUCAUGCAUAAAUGGGCUCUAAAUCCCAAUCUAUGCACGCAAUUUUCGUCGCGUGUUGUCGAGCAGCACAAGAGAUCGUGAAAUCGUGAAAUGUGAAAUUUCUAACUAUGCGGAGGGCAGGAAUGGAGGUGUUAACACAAAUGACCAAAAAAUUGCAAUGUCAAAACUGUCACAGACGUUUUGAGUGACUUUUGAGCACGGAAAGAGCAGAGGAUCUUUCUCAAUAAACAUUGCAAUUUUAGUUAAAUAAAUGCUCAAUACCUGAAGCCGAAAGUUUCCAGGUCAUCUGCAGUGAAAUUAAUGCUAAAAACUGUUUAUUUUUGGUUAUGCAAGCGAAUUAAGGCGAUUUAAUAAGUUAAGGAAUUUUGAUAUUAUAGUCAGGAACACCCAGAAUAGUCAGGGUAGGUAGGCAGAAUAAAAGCAAACAAUCGUGCAAUUCUGAAAGAAAGCAUGAAAAUUUCAGGAUAUCAUAUUUACCUAUAGAAGGGUCAAUUUCGCAAGUGAGCCCAAAAUUCUGAGGCCAUGGGGGCCGGGGGGGGGGGGGGCUGGAGAUCCUGAAUUCGUACGUUUUGCCGAAUUUCGCAUUGAUGUACAAUGUGAUCAAAACUUGUGUAAACGUCAUUAGUAGGCUCUCUCGAAAAGUAUUCUAAAAUUUAUCACCGUCCGAUCCCGGAAAACACCCUGAAAAUACCUAAAAUUCAAAAAUGGCGCCCAUAAUUCGGCCUCCGGAAUCAUAGAGU
rnacentral:lncRNA from 1 species